GGGUGAUCUCGGGGACGCCCCGAUCUUCCACCAGCCGGAUUGAGGCGGACGGCUGUGCAUAGAUGCUUCUAGCCCACCGACCUUGGGUGCCUGUGGGGGCUGAUACAUGCACGUACAAUAUGUGCAACUUUGAGUGCCCUGUAUGGGGACAAUUCUGCAGGACGGGUGCCGGCCGUGCGGUGGCUGAGUCGAAGGUGACCGGUGGGUAUUGAAAACGGUAAUUCACACGCCAAACGGAGCUCGGACUUCCCGGGAAAAGUGGGACUGAUCUGCACACCCACCACCAGGAGACGACAGAUUCGUCCUGACGGUGAUUCACAGAGUGGUCACUUCCGUGACACCUCUGUGCCCCUCUCCGUCUGUCCUGCUGACGAGGAUAGACAGACAGGUGCAUCGGAAGCUCUGGGAUUGCUGGAGAAUAUUCUAGUAGCGGGUGAGGUGCAGAGGGUGACUGUCACCUGCAGGGCAAGGUCCACAGGAAACCACGGGUGUCUCUGCUGAGGGCUGAAGGACCCAGUGACCCUCCCAACCAAAAGACCAUGGCCACCACCUAGUCCCCUGUGCAUCAAGUUUUAUCACGGGGGACUCACGCGACACCACGUUAACAGGGUACAUCAGGAACAAUCACACCGUGCAUUUUACUCUACUGCAGAAAUGGAUCCGGGGGAACUCACACACACACCCGGUAUCACGGAAUCCUGUUACCCAUGGGGUCAUACUCGCGGACUGUACCUAGAGCACGUCAUCAGCUGCAUUUCACUAUCAUCACUGAGAAGUGCACGAGGACAUUCCAGACCGUGGCAUUGCCUUGCGUGGGACUGAGGCCUACUCUGUCGCAUUGCACGAGCACGUCGCAUUUGCUGUGCAGUUUUACUAUGUCCCCGAGGACUAUGACCUGGGGUUCACAUGUCCUAGGUUAGUCUGUCACCCCACUAACCACCGUAGUAUUGAUCUCCCUGUAGGAGAGAACUGCAUGGCAUUCAUACAUAUCGUGUUGGCCUGUCACCCAUCGGUGACAAUGACACUCGGCCCAUUACCUGGAUUGCAUGCAGUGCAUUAGCAUAUGACCUGUCAUUCACAAUCCUGCUACUUUAUUUCCCUGUGGGAUUUACAGAUACAUCGUGCACGUUUUCACACCAAGGAUCCAUUGCACGGGGGCUGCACAGCUGCAUCUGGACCCGUGCGACAGCCGCCCACUCUGGCCCAGCCACAGGUGGCCGCGUGGGGGCGGGGCGGACAC